AUCCAAGUAGUUUAAUUGAGAACGAUAAUCUGUGGAGUUAUAAGUAUAAUUUUAUCUUGGGUU
rnacentral:tRNA from 1 species